AUGGCCUCUCAGAUUCAUCAGAAUUAUUCCACCAAAGUGGAAGCUGCCUUGAACUGUCUGGUCAACUUGCACUUGUGGGCCUCUUACACCUACCUCUCUCUAGGCUUCUAUUUUGGUCGGGAUGACGUGGUUCUGAAGGGUGUAGGCCAUUUCUUCCGCGAAUUGUCCAAGGAGAAGCGCAAGGAUGCCCAGUGUCUCCUCAAGUUGCAGAACGAUCGUGGGGGCCGUGCACUCUUCCAGGAUGUGCAGAAGCCAUCUCAAGAUGAAUGGGGUAAAACCCAGGAGGCCAUGGAAGCUGCCUUGGCCCUGGAGAAGAACCUGAACCAGGCCCUCUUGGAUCUGCAUGCCCUGGGUUCUGCCCACACAGACCCUCAUCUCUGUUACUUCUUGGAAAGCCACUUUCUGGAUAAGGAGGUGAAGCUCAUCAAGAAGGUCGGCAACCACCUGACCAACCUCCGUAGGGUAGCAGGGCCACAACCAGCACAGACUGGAAUGCCCCUGGAAUCUCUGGGCGAGUAUCUCUUUGAGAGCCUCACUCUCAAGCACAAGUAG